UUUAGACAGGACACCUUUUUUGAGUAUCCCAUUUUCUCUCUGCCAGUAUGAACACUCCAGAAAGUUUUCCAGAACCCAUCAAGCUCACUUGGGCUACUGUGGAAGUAAUCUUUCUCUUCAUCCUGCUUUCCAGGAGAAAAUGCUUCAAGAAGUGCAUUGACUCAGACAAGGAGCUGCAUGUGGAUGCCAGAAAUCUGACUUCUACAAUGCAAAUAUUUGCUGGAAGGUCUGUAUUACACUCACACCCAUUAGAGAAGUUGGC
rnacentral:lncRNA from 12 species